UAGGGAAUCUUCGGCAAUGUACGAAAGUCUGACCGAGCAACGCCGCGUGAGUGAAGAAGGUUUUCGGAUCGUAAAACUCUGUUGUUAGAGAAGAACAAGGACGUUAGUAACUGAACGUCCCCUGACGGUAUCUAACCAGAAAGCCACGGCUAACUACGUGCCAGCAGCCGCGGUAAUACGUAGGUGGCAAGCGUUGUCCGGAUUUAUUGGGCGUAAAGCGAGCGCAGGCGGUUUCUUAAGUCUGAUGUGAAAGCCCCCGGCUCAACCGGGGGGGGUCAUUGGAAACUGGGAGACUUGAGUGCAGAAGAGGAGAGUGGAAUUCCAUGUGUAGCGGUGAAAUGCGUAGAUAUAUGGAGGAACACCAGUGGCGAAGGCGGCUCUCUGGUCUGUAACUGACGCUGAGGCUAGAAAGCGUGGGGAGCAAACAGG
rnacentral:rRNA from 1 species